rnacentral:rRNA from 1 species
UACGGGGGGGGCAAGCGUUGUUCGGAAUUACUGGGCGUAAAGGGCGCGUAGGCGGCCUACUAAGUCGGACGUGAAAUCCCUCGGCUCAACCGAGGAACUGCGUCCGAUACUGGCAGGCUUGAAUCCGGGAGAGGGAUGUGGAAUUCCAGGUGUAGCGGUGAAAUGCGUAGAUAUCUGGAGGAACACCGGUGGCGAAGGCGGCAUCCUGGACCGGUAUUGACGCUCAUGUGCGAAAGCGUGGGGAGCAAACAGG